rnacentral:tRNA from 1 species
UGUGGUUUAGUUGGCAGAGUAUUUGCCUGGCAUGCUUAAAGCCCUGGGUUCAAUUCCCAGCA